rnacentral:rRNA from 1 species
CCCUUAGAUGUUCUGGGCCGCACGCGCGCUACACUGACGAAUGCAACGAGCUUAUAACCUUGGCCGAAAGGUCUGGGUAAUCUCCAAAUUUCGUCGUGAUGGGGAUAGAUUAUUGCAAUUAUUAAUCUUCAACGAGGAAUGCCUAGUAAGCGCAAGUCAUCAGCUUGCGUUGAUUACGUCCCUGCCCUUUGUACACACCGCCCGUCGCUCCUACCGAUUGAAUGGUCCGGUGAAAUGUUCGGACCGCGACAAGGCGGACGGUUCGCUGUCAGCUUUGCUGCGGGAAGUUCAUUAAACCUUAUCAUUUAGAGGAAGGAGAAGUCGUAACA